AAAGACCCAGGCUAUCAGAACCCCAGGGCUCCGGACGCCAGGGCAAUUCCCUGGGUGCCUCAGAUGGGGUGGACAACACCGUCAGACCGGGAGACCAGGGCAGCUCUUCACAGCCCAACUCAGAAGAGAGAGGAGAGAACACGUCUUACAGGAUGGAAGAGAAAAGUGAUUUCAUGCUAGAAAAAUUGGAAACUAAAAGUGUGUAGCUAGGUUAUUUCGGAGUGUUAUUUAUCUUCCCACUUGCUCUCUGUUUGUAUUUUUGUUUUGUUUUUGAUUCUUGAGACUGUGAGGACUUGGUUGACUUCUCUGCCCUUAAAGUAAAUAUUAGUGAAAUUGGUUCCAUCAGAGAUAACCUCGAGUUCUUGGUGUAGAAAUUAUGUGAAUAAAGUUGCUCAAUUAGAAUUUUUAGGGUUCUCUUUGAUAGGCCUGUUUUUCUGAUGUGUGUGUUUUUUUUGGGGGGGGGUUAUUUGUUUGUUUGUUUGUUUGUUUGUUUGUUUUUGAGACAGCCUGGGCGACAGGGCAAGACUCCAUCUCAAAAAAAAAAAAAAAAAAAAAAGAAGAGUCCCUGGAGACAGAUGGGACACUCUAGGCCUCCCCUCACCGCUUGGCACAGUGCCUGGCCUUAGGCACGCUGUCAGCAUGCGUGUGGAUGAACUCCGAGUGAAGACACAAAGCUAGUUUCCGACCCUUUGGGCCAGUGGGCUGUCAGACAAACGUACUUGGGGGGAAAUCGGAAAUGAAGUGGCUCAUUAAGGCCAAAGUUCCCUUUGCCUCAUUGUCUUGGUUCUGGGCUGUCACCACCUUACAGUCACAAGUCUACUCC
rnacentral:lncRNA from 10 species